rnacentral:rRNA from 1 species
AGGACGAACGCUGGCGGCGUGCUUAACACAUGCAAGUCGAACGGAAAGGCCCUUUCGGGGGUACUCGAGUGGCGAACGGGUGAGUAACACGUGGGUGAUCUGCCCUGCACUUCGGGAUAAGCUUGGGAAACUGGGUCUAAUACCGGAUAGGACUACGGACUUCAUGGUUUGUGGUGGAAAGCUUUUUGCGGUGUGGGAUGGGCCCGCGGCCUAUCAGCUUGUUGGUGGGGUGAUGGCCUACCAAGGCGACGACGGGU